rnacentral:lncRNA from 1 species
CACGUGUGAGUGUUUUAACACUCUGCCACUGCAGUCAAAUCAAGCAAUAUGAUGCACGCAAAAGAUGGCACACGGUGUUGGUAGAUGUUUGGAUAGAACAUCACUAGUGGUUCAGAUCUGGUGCAACAAACUCCUCCCUUUCCUUUCUCCCUUCAGUGCUUUUUGCCCUCUGCUAGCAGGAUCUCAGUAGGUUUUUCUGCUGCGUCCAGUCAUGUGCUAUGCCUGCCCUGCAAUCUGCCAGCACAUUCCCCAUAGUCGCAGUGUGCCAGCAACUGCCACUCAAGAGAGAAGAUCAAGAAAAUUCCAGGCAAGGCAGAGCCAACCUGUCCAACUGGCAAGACGGCUGUGACCAAGAGUAUCGGGUUUCUAGGUUUUCUCCCAGAUCCUCACACCAAGCAGAAGAGUUACAACUCCCAUGUAGUGAUCACCACAGAGGACGUUGAUGGCUUGAUGGCUUGGGCACGUGGCAGCUGUAUAAGAGGGCAAAGAUUGAUGGUUGUAUGGGAGCUCCUGAAUCACGGCCUGAACAUCUGACUGAUCAGCUGAGGCAAGCAGAGUCAGCCAUGGGAGCACAGGUGAAGUCAAUUCACCUGUGUGACCAGAAGGGGUGGAGCCUGGCUGCACCUCUCCUUGACCUCCCAUAGAAGGGCUGAGUACAAUGGGGGAAGGGUUUUUUUCUAGAGAUUGCUAUUCUUGGAGUUUUUCCUGUGAGCCUACAACAUGGGUGAGCAUUUUCCAGUUAUUUCCAACGAUAAUCUUUCUAGUUAUACUAUCUGUGGAUAGCAAUCUGACCACACUACUCAGUAUAUUUGUUGACUAUACAAUGGUGUUAUCUUGCCUCAUCUACUUCACUCCUCUGGAAGAUUCUGGAAAAACUUAGGUUUCCAUCCGGAAAGUAUGACCCUGCUUGACUCACGCCCAGGAUUCAUUUAGAUGACAUACUUAAAAACCUGCAGAAAACUCAGAUCUGAAUUCAAGACUGGGGAGUGAUGAGAGUGAAGUUUUGUUCACAGCUAAUGUCUGGAGAUGCCAGUGACUAGGUAGCUUUGUAGAAAGUGUCAAUGCAGAAUACUAAACUAAGGCUGACUGUUCUGCCUAUGUUAAGGCAGGCUGUCCUUUGAACUCUGUUUCAACUUUUUACAGGUACACAAGAGAUUUGGGCUGAAUCAAAGUAAUCUGGCUUACUCACGAUGUCCUCUUGCAAAGAGCUGACUACUGAAACAUUGCUUGACUACUGAAAGUUAAGGUGUUCUAAUUUUCCUCUAUUAAUUUUUAAAAUUCAGUCUAUUUUCAAUUUUCCUCUAUUUAUUGAUGCUAGAAUGAACACGGGCCAGCAGUGUGCCCAGG